GGGAAGAGGCAUCGGACGGAUUUGUAGAAACAUUUCAAAGAAAGUUAUAAUCUAUUUUGGAAGUAAGGACCUUAAAGGUUUUAAAUAGUCGGUGAGGCUGUGAAUCUCCGUUCAUCUGAGCUAUAAUACAGAGACAUGGCCCACACAGAGACAACUGGGAAAAACGUUUAUGUCCACUUGGCGGGAGAAACUAAUGGUGCUCAUCGGGCAUUUGUUAAAAAGUUGAAAGACGGUGGCCAUAUUGAGGUGCAGUCUCCUGGAGAAAGUGACUACCUUUUGGUUUUCUGUCCCAUCGCUUCACAAGUUGGAACGGACAUAUGUGAGGCCCUGGACCACAUACCAGGUGGGAAACCAGCAAUUCUGAUGGUG